CAACCCUCAGGCCCGCCCUGGUGUUGGGGUCCUGCGCCAAGCAGCCCCCGGAAGACAGCGGCGGCGCCGCCUCCGGCCCCGAGCGUAGUAGCUUACCUCGCUAUGGGAGCCGGGCGGCCGCCUGCCGGAAAACACCCCUUUUUCUCAUGG
rnacentral:misc_RNA from 1 species